GCUCAGAGCCACUGGCAGAGCUGGGCAUGGUGUCCUUGCCCAGGACUUGCCUCGGCAGCAGCAAAGGAAAGCGACUGGAGUGGCAGACCUAGCCUGGAGGUUCAGGCUCUGUUGGUUCAAUCCUUUUAAGAAAUCAAGGCCAAGAAGAAAUUAGACGUGUAAGAGAGCCACUGGGGGCUGCCACCCAAGACAAGGGAGGGCAGGAGGAGGUGGCGAGCCCACUGCCCAUCUGACCAGUGAAAGAAGGGGAAGGAAGGGCUCAGACCCCAGCACAGUUCCAAGGAAGCAGCAGCAGUGGGAGGCACAGCAGAGGCCGUUCCCUGACCUGGACCUGCGCCCCAGGCCUCCCUGUCCCUCUUGCUGCAGGUCAGCUGCGGGGACACCUCCCCAACGCUGCCUUGGAGGGUUCAGCAGCUACGUGCACGGUCACCUCCUUUCCCACCACAACUCGCAGCAGACCUGGCUGAUCGCACAUCACAUUGGGUGACAGACAGGAGCUCCGCUGAGGCUCAGCCCCACUACUCCUUCCCUGGAGGAAGCAACAGGCUCCCCAGACUGGGAAAGAACACCCAGAAGAGGAGGAAAAGACCUCCCCUUCCGAAUGCCGAGCUCGGAGAGCUAGCUUUGUAUUUAAAGAAGAAAAAUCUGGAA